rnacentral:rRNA from 1 species
GAUGAACGCUGGCGGCGUGCCUAAUACAUGCAAGUCGAGCGAACGGACGAUAAGCUUGUUUCUUUGAUGUUUGCGGCGGACGGGGGAGUAACACGUGUAUAACCUACCUAUAAGACUGGGAUAACUUCGGGAAACCGGAGCUAAUACCGGAUAAUAUUUUGAACCGCAUGGUUCAAAAGUGAAAGACGGUCUUGCUGUCACUUAUAGAUGGAUCCGCGCUGCAUUGGCUAGUUGGUAAGGUAACGGCUUACCAAGGCAACGAUGCAUAGCCGACCUGAGAGGGUGAUCGGCCACACUGGAACUGAGACGCGGUCAAGACUCCUACGGGAGGCAGCAGUAGGGAAUCUUCCGCAAUGGGCGAAAGCCUGACGGAGCAACGCCGCGUGAGUGAUGAAGGUCUUCGGAUCGUAAAACUCUGUUAUUAGGGAAGAACAUAUGUGUAAGUAACUGUGCCCAUCUUGACGGUACCGAAUCAGAAAGCCACGGCUAACUACGUG